rnacentral:lncRNA from 1 species
AAGCUGCGAAGAUGGCGGAGUAAGGUGUGCUGCUGUAAACUGGCCUCUGGGCUGGGGGUGGGCAGCCCCCGGGAGGCCGAGUGCAUCUGUUGGACUGUGCGAGGAGAAGAAAAAACAGGGAUCGGCCAGAGGAAAGGAACUAACCGAACAGUCUUCGUCCCUACCUUACAGUGGGCAGUACUCAUCUACGCUAAAGCAAAGUGUCAUGUGUGUCCGUAUGAAGAGACCACCAAACAGGCUUUGUGUUCCUUAUCACAGGAAGAAAAUUUUCCUUGACCUUUAGGUGCUUUUAUAUUCAUCUCAAAAGCAAAAUUCUGAACUCAGGACUUGGCAAGUGUCUCUAUGCUGUCUCCUAGAGUGGGUAGUCCUGCUUCUUUUACCCAGUUACCUUCCCUAUUCUUGAAAUGUGGCUAUCACUUCUCUACACGUUACCUCCAUGAUUUGGAAUGGAAAGGCCACUUUCCUUUUUGUUCUGCCUCUCAAAUUCAACACAGAGGAGCUCCUAGGAUUCCAGUUAUCCUCCUAACAUCUCCAGGAAGAAAGAAGCAACUUGCAUGGGUCUUCUGUUGUUUACUUAAUUAUAAAGACAUCAUUUUGCAAGCUGAAGGCUGAGUUUCAUUUGAAACAGGUGCUUAGGUGGUGGUAUUUGUGAAUACUUUUCAUUCCAAGCAAGAAGACUAAAGAAGUAGCAAGUAUGGAUGACUUCAGGGUUUAAAAAAAAUGUCUUCCAGUUUCAGCCACUACCACGAUAAGCACAGUUGAGACUGCAGCAGUAAAUUCCAAAUAUAUGUUUCUAAUUUGACGUGAAAGAUACUAAACAUUUAUAUUUGUAUAUUUAAAUCCUGGCUCAUCCUGUGACACAGAUUUACUGAAUAGGAACAAAGGCCCAAUUUUAAACAAAAACCUAGGCCGGGUGCGGUGGCUCACGCCUGUAGUCCCAACACUUUGGGAG